AUUGAACGCUGGCGGCAGGCCUAACACAUGCAAGUCGAGCGAGCGGCGGAUGGGUGAUUAAUGUCUGUGAAACUGCCUGAUGGGGGUGGAUAACUACUGGAAGCGGUAGCUAAUCCCGCAUCCCAUCAGAUGUGCCCAGAUGGGAUUAGCUAGUUGGUGGGGUAACGGCUCACCUAGGCGACGAUGCCUGUCUGGUCUGAGAGGAUGACCAGCCACACUGGAACUGAGACACGGUCCAGACUCCUACGGGAGGCAGCAGGGGGGAAUAGUGGACAAUGGGCGAAAGCCUGAUCCAGCCAUGCCGCGGGGGUGAAGAAGGCCUUCGGGUUGUAAAGCACUUUCAGCGGGGAGGCGUUACCCGCAGAAGAAGCACCGGCUAACUCCGUGCCAGCCGCCGCGGUAAUUC
rnacentral:rRNA from 1 species